AAACUCCAGGGUCAUGGUAGCUCGUCUACGGGUGAGUGAAUAGCCUUGGCAGAACUCAUUUGCGGACUGUUUCUUUCGUGUCUGGUUGCAGUGUCCUUGGCAUUCUGGAAGCUCGUCUUGGCUUGCCACUGGCGGGGGACCUGGGUGACUUGGGCAUUUCCCUGACACAAAGACGAUGACUAAAUGGUUCUAUUCGACCCGUCUUGAAAC
rnacentral:rRNA from 1 species